rnacentral:rRNA from 1 species
UACGGAGGGUGCAAGCGUUUAUCCGGAUUCACUGGGUUUAAAGGGUGUGUAGGCGGGCUUUUAAGUCAGUGGUGAAAUCUCCAGGCUCAACCUGGAAACUGCCAUUGAUACUAUUGGUCUUGAAUUUUGUUGAGGUAGGCGGAAUAUAUCAUGUAGCGGUGAAAUGCUUAGAUAUGAUAUAGAACACCGAUUGCGAAGGCAGCUUACUAAGCAAAUAUUGACGCUGAGGCACGAAAGCGUGGGGAUCAAACAGG